rnacentral:lncRNA from 1 species
UUCUAGUGUACUAUGCAUAAAUCAUCUUAGCUGGGCCAUUAACAUCACUCAACCAGUACUUUCCAGUGACCUAGCACUGUGAAAUUAUAACCAGUCUUCAGCUGCCCCUUCUCUCUGACAUUAUGCCUGCAAAUUGUGACUUGAGGUAGGAUAAUUGGCUUCAAAGAGGGGAAGAAAAGAAAAUCAUCGCGGCAAGGAAAGCAUCUGGGUAGUGUUCAAUGCAGCUCCAAUACUUGAUGCUCAUUUAAAAGAAGUAUCAUACUGAACUAGUCCCCAAAAUGGAAAAGAUCAAUUGAAUAAUGUUGCCUAAAUAGCUCAAGCUAAGAUAAGCAUGACAUGCAAUAUGUUCCCCGUCAAUCCCAUCCAUGAAAUCAAAAUUGUCUCGACUUCCAAAAGGGGUACAUCAUUCAAAGUUAUAACAGUUUUUGAUUUCCACCUUCAUAACUGCUUUUAGGUGCAAUAUUCCUCAAAAAUGAAAUGUUAAGGUAAGUCACUACUCAAACAAAGAUGGACCACACAAGUGUCAGAGACCCCAUUUAAGGCUGCUUUUCUUCAAUAAACCUAACACAGUUCUCUUGCAUCAAACGUGAAAUGUCUCAAGAAGAACAAUGGAAAUUUGUAGCUGGAAGGCACCAUGAAAAAGAACAAGACGGCCUUUCACUUGAUGGGGUGUCUACACAAAUUUAUGUAAAGAUAUCCAACAGCAUAAAGAUGAAGCUCAUAGUAUGUGACUAUGAAUUGCAUACACCACCCGUGACUACUGAUGCAAUGAAAGUUAAUAGGAGUAGCGAGAUACAAAGUCAGCCUACCUUCAGUUGAAGAAUCGAGCUUCACUGCCCAUUCUCGGUUUCCUUGGAUUGAGUACUUGUCAAGCAACACCUCCAAGACA